rnacentral:misc_RNA from 1 species
AACGCACGAGACCUGCGGACCUGCGGAAGGAUCAUUAACAAAUCCAAAAUUUACGUGUAGGGAAGGAAGGAAGCAAUUACAGCUACCAACCUAACCUACCAAGGCUUGAAUCUGGCGUGCUAGAAUCAAGCCAACUUGAACGUAUUUUUUAAAUAAUGACUGAAGAGAAACAAGAAUCUAUAAACAACUUUCAACAAUGGAUCUCU